rnacentral:rRNA from 1 species
UACGAAGGGGGCUAGCGUUGUUCGGAAUCACUGGGCGUAAAGGGCGCGUAGGCGGCUUUGUCAGUCGGGGGUGAAAGCCUGUGGCUCAACCACAGAAUUGCCUUCGAUACUGCAAGGCUUGAGACCGGAAGAGGUAAGUGGAACUGCGAGUGUAGAGGUGAAAUUCGUAGAUAUUCGCAAGAACACCAGUGGCGAAGGCGGCUUACUGGUCCGGUUCUGACGCUGAGGCGCGAAAGCGUGGGGAGCAAACAGG